GUCAGCUUUCUAUUCAUCAUGAGAGUAGACUCUCAAGACAAUUUACUAGCAGUGGAGUUAGACUCUGGACUUAUUCUGCCUCCUCACAUGUAAUAGAGAAGUGGAUUCAUCUAAUCUAAAAGAACUGGCCCAUGUAUGCGAUAGGUGAACCCAUGAAGGUCUAAUCCCUGGCUACAAGGGGAGGCUGUGACUUCCACCUCUGCUGUGAGUUAGAGGUGGCAUAUGGCACCAUUGUCAGGAAGAUGCUGUUGUUGGUCUUUUCUACUUGAGGAGGAACAAUGCCAUCAUAAUGUUGGUGUCAGGGUACCAUGAGUCUGUGGCUGAUCGGUCUAAUAUGAGUUUGGAAGACUCUACCACAGAUUGGGCAUGAAUAGUUUGGAAUUGGAUGUCUCUAGAUUUGUGCAUCUCACAUUUCCUCUGCUGUGAUUCUGCUUUGCUCAUAGACUACAGUGCCAGUAGCCUAGCAGAGGAAGGGCAGGUUUUCUUGGCAAAGAUAUUGGAAUGGUUUGCCAUUUCCUUACCAGCUUAUUUAAUGGAAGAGGAACUGAAGUAGAUAGGGGUAAGUGAUUUUAUUAAGGUCCCAGAUCUAAUGAGUAAU
rnacentral:lncRNA from 1 species